GAAACUACGCCUACAUGAAGCUGGAAUUGCUAGUAAUCACAGGUCAGCAUACUGUGGUGAAUACGUUCCCGGGCCUUGUACACACCGCCCGUCACACCAUGAGAGUUGAGAAUACCCGAAGCCCAUGUCAAAGUGGUCGAAGGUAGGCUUGAUGAUUGGGGUGAAGUCGUAACAAGGUAAC
rnacentral:rRNA from 1 species